rnacentral:rRNA from 1 species
CUCUUAGAUGUUCUGGGCCGCACGCGCGCUACACUGUUCGACGCAGCGAGUCUUAACCUUGACCGAAAGGUUUGGGUAAUCUUCAGCAAAGUCGAACGUGAUGGGGAUCGAUCAUUGCAAUUAUUGAUCGUGAACGAGGAAUUCCUAGUAAGUGCAAGUCAUCAGCUUGCGCUGAUUACGUCCCUGCCCUUUGUACACACCGCCCGUCGCUACUACCGAUUGAAUGGUUUAGUGAGAUCUCUGGAUUGACGCUGGCUAGGGGGCGACCCUUGGCCAGACUGUUGAGAAACUGCUCAAACUUGAUCAUUUAGAGGAAGUAAAAGUCGUAACA